UACAGAGGUCUCAAGCGUUGUUCGGAUUCAUUGGGCGUAAAGAGCUCGUAGGCGGCUAUUCAAGUCGAACGUGAAAUCUCGGAGCUCAACUCCGAAACUGCGUUCGAUACUGGGUAGCUAGAGUCUGGUAGGGGGAGUCUGGAAUUCCUGGGUGUAGCGGGUGGAAUGCGCAGAUAUCAGGAGGAACACCGGUGGCGAAGGCGGGAUCCUGGGCCAGUACUGACGCUGAGGAGCGAAAGCGUGGGGAGCAAAC
rnacentral:rRNA from 1 species